rnacentral:misc_RNA from 1 species
GAUGAAGAACGCAGCGAAAUGCGAUAAGUAGUGUGAAUUGCAGAAUUCAGUGAAUCAUCGAAUCUUUGAACGCACAUUGCGCCCCUUGGUAUUCCAUGGGGCAUGCCUGUUCGAGCGUCAUUUGUACCUUCAAGCUCUGCUUGGUGUUGGGUGAUUGUCUAUCUUUGUAGACUCGCCUUAAAGUCAUUGGCAGCCGGCAUAUUGGCCUGGGAGCGCAGCACAAGUCGCGCUUCUUGUCAUGAAUGUUGGCGUCCAGUAAGUCUACAUAUUUUGCUCUUGACCUCGGAUCAGGUAGGGAUACCCGCUGAACUUAAGCAUAUCAAUAAGCGGGGA